rnacentral:lncRNA from 1 species
GCUGGGCGCACCCGUCCCGUUCGUCCCCGGACGUUGCUCUCUACCCCGGGAACGUCGAGACUGGAGCGCCCGAACUGAGCCACCUUCGCGGACCCCGAGAGCGGCGGCGCGACUCACCGCGGAGGCGCCCGGACGCGUCAAUGUCCCCCAGGGCAAGGCCUGAACCAGGUCGCGAGGGUCUGUCUCCCGUCUGGGGAGCUGAACUGCCCGAGACACUGUCGCAGUCGCGGGGACUUGUCUGGAGCGGCGGGGUCUGAGCCCAAGUCGGAAGCCGCCGCCGCCGCCAGCGUCCCGUGCGCCUGCCGCCCCGGGACCAGCCGCGAAACUUCUUCUCGGGACGGAGACAGCGCUCGCCGCCCGGGCCGAGGUAGGAGCUGGCUGGGCUCGGUAGAGCGCGGGCGAAUCGCUUUCGGCAGCGAAGGAACGUGUCGGGAGAAGCCAACUGCAGGACCAGGGCCCCAGCGGGCGCGCAGAGACGCCUGCCUUGGGCGGAGGUCCCCCCCUCCGGUUUUCGUGGCUCUGGUAGGGCCCUCUGUCCCGUGAGCUCCUCACUGGACCUGAGGCUACAGGCUUCAGCAGGUCAAGCGCCCGAGUGUGCCUGGAGGAUUGGCGGCGGGGUGGCAUGAGAAGGUGGCCCCUCUUCUCCAUCUCCCAGUCAGGCGAUUUCUCUGCUGUCUGGGGCAGGGGCGCACACCCCAGGAACUUACUACGUAGAGGGAAGCCAGCCUGGUCUCUCCCCCUUGCGUCAGUGCUCCUAAGCUGCCCCUCACCACUCUGGGUAGGGGUCUUUCAGGUGGGCUAGGGAAUUCUCCUUGGAAGUCCCCUUGUUUGCUCCCCUCCAUCAGGGCACCUCUGAGUUAGCCAAUCAUCCUCUUUUCUGGCCUCUUUUUUGCGGGGAGGAGAGUAGAGAGAGAAGCCUCCUACUCGGCAGGUCUCUGAGAGGAGGUUUGGGGGGGCUUCUGAGGUUGCUCCUCCUGGGCAGAGUCAAGGGGUGUUGAGGGUUCCAACUUUUACUGGACAAUCUCUCAAGCUCUGAUUCCCUGAUUUCUGGGAGGUGUCAGUGUAGGGCUUGUGUCCUGCCCCACCCACACAGCAUUUGGUGCAGGCACAUGGGAUGGUUCCCCAAGCCCUUUUCCCACAGUUAGUUUCAGAAAAUGCAUAAGCCACCUAAGGCUGGGAGAGCCUUUCUGUGCUGGCUGAGAUCUGGUGGCAUGUGCAUGCAUAUGUGUGCAAGUGUGUGUGUGUGUGUGCAAGUGUGUGUGCGCAUGUGCAUGUGUGUGGAAAGUAUGGUCUGGGUGGCUGUAAGACUGGCCCCUCUUGUCCCCUCUGCAGGCCCAGCCCAAUAGGAAGCACCUGAUCCACACUCUUUCUAGCCCCAGGGAUGCUCAGGAAAGCAGCCUUUCUUUAGGGCUGUCAUCUGUUCUGGGGAUCUGUUGCUGUUUCUUGGGCCCACAGAAUACACUCCACACCUCGGGACUCCAUAAUAUUGGACAAGGCUGGAAGGCCCAUUUGGCUCCUGCAGCCUCUUAUGCAGGUGAGGACAGACCCAAGGUCCAGGCAAUGCUGGCCUUUGGAACACAGAACCUGGCUCACUGACUCCCACUCCAGUUGUCUUUUCCCUCUGCCUCUGGAGCAACCCUCUCUCCUCCAGAGCAACCCCUGUCCCUCCUUCCUACCUCUCUCUAGGGCUGCACCCCCAGCUCACCUUAGACCUGGCCCUUCCUACCUGUUGCCCCUACUGUCUUGUCCCAUCCCAGUGGUCAGGAGGGAGAGUACUGGCCAAAGGCCCAGCUCCACCUGUGACUUAGGGGAGUGCCAGGCAUCACCCAGAGGUCCCGGCCCUCGGGGGCCUGGCAGGCUCUGCUGUGGGGGAAGCAGAGUUAGAACUGGGGCUGCUUCUCCUGUCCCCCAGCCUGGCUGGGCCUCCCCCACCUCCCUUUCUGCCUGCCCUCUUACAACUCCAGCAGGGGGCGGGCAGGGGAAAGAAAAGGAGGGACAAGUUGGAUGGGGUCCAUUUGGUGUCCAGGAACAACUUGGAGAGAGGCGGGGAGGGGACAGGCAGCAGGGCCCUGGCAGAGCCAGGGGAGGGCUGGCCUUUGGAUGGCCUUCUGAUCCCAAGCCCAUCCUCCUGGGGCAGUCUUCCCUUGAAAGGGAGGGUUUGGUGAACCCUGGUGCGGACCCCCCCGCCGGACCUCACUGCCCCAGUGCGGGGCGUGGUAGGCGGGUUUGCAAUGGGUACAGCCUCUCUCUCCAUUCCAGUAGAGCAGCUCCCAGGGCCCAGAGAGGCUGUCACUGAGACUUCCCUCUGGGGUGGGGUGGGUUCUGGUGGCCCUGUGUUCCCCUGCAGGAGGACCUCCUGAGGCUUCGGGCAGGAGCUGGUGCACACCUGGAGGAGAGUGCUGGUGAAUGGCAGGUGUGUGCCUCAGUGUCCUUGCUGCCAGGGUGUCAGCCCUGCUUCACCACUGGCCGUUUGUCUCUGUCCCCUCCACUGGCCUCUUGAAGCACAGAGACCCUCCGGGUACUUUCCUUCCUCUGGGCUUCCACUCAUGCUAUUCCCUGCUCCCUUUUUCUACCUGGAGACCCCCAUUCCUCCUCCUCCUCUGCUGCCCUCACCUCCACCUGGGCCCUCCCAGCUCCCGGGAGAUGGCUGAACCCCACUCCCCACCCGCUAGUCAUCCUCUUCAGCGGUCCUCCCAGAGCUGUCCUCAGCAUGGCAGCCUCCACAGCCCCUGGGUGUCACCCCCGGUUUCGUGUCUGCCUCGGACUCCAGACCUGCCCCUCCCAGGCUGGCCCAGAUGGAUCCUCUACAGUGACUAACCCAAACCAGCACCAGGCAGGGACCCAAUAAACCUUUGUGAAUGGAGUAAAUGAGUGCGGUGUGUACUUACUGAAAACUCCUUGUUUGGGGAGAAACUCAGGGUAUUUCACUCUGUCCUUUUGCGCACCUGCAGCAGUGAGCUGGGGCGGCAUGUUGGCAGCCAGGGCUGAGCACGGUGGGUCAGGACCUGCCGCUGUGAGCAGACAACACUUCCUGGGAAGUCCCCUUGGGGCGUGGUGUCUGGUGAAUGCACCCAUCACCUGGUCACUGGGCCAAUCCGUUUCCCUUUCUGGGCUAAACAGGUCUUCCCACGGGUACCUGGGCCCUCCCACGGAGGUCUCGUCUGCAUCAGGAGUGGGUUGGGUGGUGACUUUCCAGUGCCUUCCCCAUGGGUCAUUCUGCACGCCAGAAGGUCCUAGGAAGUUCUAGGAGACGCUAUUCUGGCCCUACCUGCUGUUCUGCGGCUGCUGAGAGCCCCACUUGAGGACGAAGGUGCCCCAGUGCUGGUCCUACCUGGCCUCAUGCUCUGCCACUUCCACCCAGUACCGCCUUCGCCUGCCCGCUUCCUGCCGCAGCUCAGGGCCCUCCAGCCCGGCCUGGGCUCUGACUUGUUCCUGGCAUGAGUGCUACUGUGCUCCCUGGUGCUCAGCCAGACCCCAGGGCACAGGAUGAUGCCUUGCCAGAGGUUGCCUGUGGGUGCCUGGGUCCUGCCUGGAGCUGGGUGGGGCACUGGGAUGCUGGGCUACUUGUGCCAAGACAGAUCUUGCUCUGAGCCGGGCCCUGAGGCUGGCUGGAGGGCCACCUUGCGAGUCAGUCCCUCCUUUCCAUCUGUGAUCCUCUCUGGAAAAAGGUGGGGUUCAACCGACCAGCAGAUAGGCAUCCCAGGUCCAUGUGCUUCUCUGAGCCUCAGUUUCUUCACUGGAGAGGCGGGCCUAAUGUUUGAAUGUGUUGUGUUCACCAUGACAUGAGGGGCAAGUGUAAAGUCUAUAUGUGUGCCUGUGUGAGUUCGUGUGUGUGUGUAUGUGUACGUGUGUAUAUGUGUGUGUGUAUGUGUGUGUAUGUGUGUAUGUGUAUGUGUGUGUAUGUGUAUGUGUGUAUGUGUAUGUGUGUGUAUGUGUGUAUGUGUGUAUGUGUGUGUACGUGUGUGUACGUGUGUAUGUGUGUAUGUGUAUGUAUGUGUGUGUAUGUGUGUGUAUGUGUGUGUAUGUGUAUGUGUGUGUGUGUGUGUGUGUGUGUGUGUGUGUGUCUGUUUACUUAAACCCAGCCUUGUUCCAGAGUGGAUUUCAGGAUUCCUCUAAGAAGCUUUGGAAUGCCAGAAGAUACCACAAGUGAGAAGAAAAAAUAAAACAAGAGGAAGGAUAUACUUCCCAUAAGGGGACAAAGUACAGCCGCAGUGUCCUCCGCUUGGGCCAUGGAACAGCUGCAGGUUUUGCCCUGAUUACCCUGGUGGUAAAGUCUGAUUGGCUAUGAUUCCCGGUGUCCAGAAGAUAAACACGGGCGGUGCAGCGGAGCCACACGCAUGCCUGUGCAUGGCCACGCCAGGUCGGAAACCCAGCCCCUCUGCUUGGGAGGCACGCAGGGCUCUGGCUGAAGCCUGAAGCUUGGGAUCCUCAGAGCACAGAUGUCCCAGGGUUGUGUGAAGUUAGUGAGACGAGGUGUACGGAGAGAGCUCGGAGAGGAGAGGGAGUCUCGAUUGCUGUGGCUGUGGCUCGGAGAUGCCUGCAAGAGGUGUCCUACGGGCCUGAUGGAAAGGUGGCAGGCGAAAUGCACCUGGCCUCAGCGUCAGGGGCUGUGAAUGCAGUAGCACUUGUAGCUAUGAGGUCAGAGUGGACUAGGAUGGUCCUUCCACCAAGAAGCCUGGGCCUUCCUGCUCUUCGUUGUCCAGCUGCAGAAACUGAUCUCAUCCCUCAGGGCUUGGCACAACUGCCCCUUCCUCCUCACAUUCCCAAAUAUACCUACCCCUCCCCAACUCAAUCCUCCUCACCAGACUGUGGCUCCAGGAUGACAGGGCAGAGUUGGACUCACCUGUGUCUGCCAGGCCAGCUCACCGUGGGGGCAGGUCCCAAGAGGCCUCUGGAUUUGGACCAACUUCCAGUGUGACCUUGAACAAGGCCUUCGCCUCCCUCAGCCUCCGUUGCAUGAGGGGUUGUGCUGGCACAUCUCAGAGCAGGUAGCGCUACCUGGUGAGUUGAGGGCUCUGUCCAUCAUCUUUGUCACUGUAAUGCUGGGUAACAAAUAAACACGAAACAAUGAGU